UACAGAGGUCCCGAGCGUUGUUCGGAUUCACUGGGCGUAAAGGGUGCGUAGGCGGCCUAAAAAGUUUGAUGUGAAAGCUCAGGGCUUAACCCUGAAAUGGCAUUGAAUACUGUUGGGCUGGAGGUUUGGAGGGGGGACUGGAAUUCUUGGUGUAGCAGUGAAAUGCGUAGAUAUCAAGAGGAACACCAGUGGCGAAGGCGAGUCCCUGGACAACACCUGACGCUGAGGCACGAAAGCCAGGGGAGCGAACGGG
rnacentral:rRNA from 1 species